UACAGAGGUCUCAAGCGUUGUUCGGAUUCACUGGGUUUAAAGGGUGCGUAGGAGGGCAGGUAAGUCAGUGGUGAAAUCUUCGAGCUUAACUCGGAAACUGCCGUUGAUACUAUCUGUCUUGAAUCCCGUGGAGAUGAGCGGAAUAUGUCAUGUAGCGGUGAAAUGCUUAGAUAUGACAUAGAACACCAAUUGCGAAGGCAGCUCGUUACACGAAGAUUGACUCUGAGGCACGAAAGCGUGGGGAUCAAACAGG
rnacentral:rRNA from 1 species